rnacentral:rRNA from 1 species
UACAGAGGUCUCAAGCGUUGUUCGGAUUCAUUGGGCGUAAAGGGUGCGUCGGUGGUGAUGCAAGUCUGGUGUGAAAUCUCGGAGCUCAACUCCGAAAUUGCACCGGAUACUGCGUGACUCGAGGACUGUAGAGGAGAUCGGAAUUCACGGUGUAGCAGUGAAAUGCGUAGAUAUCGUGAGGAAGACCAGUUGCGAAGGCGGAUCUCUGGGCAGUUCCUGACACUGAGGCACGAAGGCCAGGGGAGCAAACGGG